GGAUAAUCUACCCUUAGGACCGGGAUAACCCUGGGAAACUGGGGAUAAUACUGGAUAGGCAAUUAUUCCUGUAAUGGUUUUUUGUUUAAAUGUUUUUUCGCCUAAGGAUGAGUCUGCGGCCGAUUAGGUAGUUGGUUAGGUAAUGGCUUACCAAGCCGUUGAUCGGUACGGGUUGUGAGAGCAAGAGCCCGGAGAUGGAACCUGAGACAAGGUUCCAGGCCCUACGGGGUGCAGCAGGCGCGAAACCUCCGCAAUGUGAGAAAUCGCGACGGGGGGAUCCCAAGUGCCAUUCUUAACGGGAUGGCUUUUCAUUAGUGUAAAGAGCUUUUGGAAUAAGAGCUGGGCAAGACCGGUGCCAGCCGCCGCGGUAACACCGGCAGCUCUAGUGGUAACAAUUUUUAUUGGGCCUAAAGCGUCCGUAGCCGGUUUAAUAAGUCUCUGGUGAAAUCCUGCAGCUUAACUGUGGGAAUUGCUGGAGAUACUAUUAGACUUGAGACCGGGAGAGGUUAGAGGUACUCCCAGGGUAGAGGUGAAAUUCUGUAAUCCUGGGAGGACCGCCUGUUGCGAAGGCGUCUAACUGGAACGGUUCUGACGGUGAGGGACGAAAGUUAGGGGCGCGAACCGGAUUAGAUACCCGGGUAGUCCUAACUGUAAACGAUGCGGACUUGGUGUUGGGGUGGCUUUGAGCUGCU
rnacentral:rRNA from 1 species